CUUCAACUACAGCUCCAACUUGCUCCAGCACCCGAGGAACACACAGGUAACUGGCAGUGGACAGAUCUUCAAGGCUAUAGGCUGAUGGGAAACACGGAAACCAGGACAUCAGCCUUGAGAAAAAGGUCAUUUCCCAGUUUGAGUCAUGGCACCUCCCUCAGCGCAGCACAAAUAUCACCAAGAGUUUAGACAUUGCUGGGUCGCUUUGUCUAGCUUUCUAUCUGGGCUGGAGGCAGGGCCUUGUGUGUUCUGCUGUAUUCUUCUGCCUGUAUCCUCUUGCCUCCAAGAACUGAUGGGCCUGCAGUUCCCCUGAAGUUUUUCAUGUGACACGGUACUUAGCAUUGCUUUCAGCAGCCUCCACCCUACUAUUCAAACUAUGUCACUGGUCCUGUCUGAAGUCAAGUUGGAUGAAAAGGAAUUCAGUCCUUGGGCAGCCCCCAGACAUGCCAGAACACUACAAACAAGCUCCGAGGGAAGAAACAGGGAUUGGGUGACCUCCCUCUCAAACCCUCUUGGGGUUGGUACAUAAUGAUUUAAUACCAAUGUAGAGAGUGAUUUAUUUGUGUAUGCUAGCAGUUUG
rnacentral:lncRNA from 9 species